rfam:Rhodotorula sp. JG-1b unplaced genomic scaffold RHOSPscaffold_19, whole genome shotgun sequence.
GUCUUCGUAGCUCAGUUGGUUAGAGCGUUCGACUGUUACCUGCUCAGGUAGCUUCAGUCAUCCAUCGAGAGGUCGGCGGUUCGACCCCGCCCGAGGACG